rfam:Picea glauca, whole genome shotgun sequence.
GUAACGGUGUCUUUAGACACCACCCUUAUCUUGAAAUUGGUUUUCU